rnacentral:rRNA from 1 species
AGAGUUUGAUCCUGGCUCAGGAUGAACGCUGGCGGCGUGGAUAAGGCAUGCAAGUCGAACGGUCCAGCACCACUUUUUAGAGAAGCAAUUUUCGAAAAAAGUGGUGCUGGAUAGUGGCAGACGGGGUAGUAACACGUAGGAACUCACCCCAGAGACGGGUAUAACUCCGCGAAAGCGGAGCUAAUUCCCGAUAGUCCCUGAGGCGCAAGCCGAAGGGUAAAUCACUUAGAUUGGCUCUGGGAGAGGCCUGCGGGCUAUCAGCUAGUUGGCGGGGUAAUGGCCCACCAAGGCGACGACGGCUAGGGGGAGUGAGAGCUUGGCCCCCACCAAUGGAACUGCGACAAGGUCCAUACACCUACGGGUGGCAGCAGCCGAGAAUAUUCGACAAUGGGCGAAAGCCUGAUCGAGCGACGCCGCGUGCAGGAGGAAGUCCUUCGGGACGUAAACUGCUUUUUUAGGGGAGGAACGAAAGUGACUGUACCCUAAGAAUAAGGGCUUGCUAACCUCGUGCCAGCAGCCGCGGUAAUACGAGGAGCCCGAGCGUUAUCCGGAUUUAUUGGGCGUAAAGGGUGUGUAGGGGGUUUUGUUAGUCCCGUUUUAAAAACUUCGGCUUAACCGAAGAAAUGGACAGGAAACGGCAAAACUUGAGGAUGCCAGAGGCAAGCGGAACUCACGGUGUAGGGGUGAAAUCCGUUGAUAUCGUGGGGAACACCAAAGGCGAAGGCAGCUUGCUGGGGCAUUCCUGACCCUGAAACACGAAAGCGUGGGGAUCAAAAAGGAUUAACAAAGGCCACAAUUCAAGGGGCCGACAUAAGAAGUCGGCCGUGGCGCUAGUCCCCCAGCUCCAGUUUUGUACUCGAAAUUAUUUCGAAUAUAAAACUGGGGCUGGGUUAAAAAAUUCAGCUAUAUGCUGGAAAAUCCGGCGUAUCCAAAACUACUUAUUAGGAGGUUAUUAUGGAAAGAAUCGUUAUAAAGCAGAUAACCAUUAUUCGAGAAGAAAAUGGUUUUGUGAGAAUCGAGAAAUCAAUGCCGUUCGGAAAGACGCAUGCCAUUGAAAUGGAAGUGCGCUUUCCAGUUCAGGAACUCGAGAAAUUGUCAGUGAGCGAUUUUCUAGAAAAAGUAUCAGAAAAACUUAAGUAAAAAUGUUUUGGUGCGGACAAUCAGCAGGGAAGUUCACUGACCUAAACAAGGUUUAGGUCAUAACCCCUCAGAGACUAUACGCUGAAAAGAACAUAAUAAAUUAAAUUAACGAAAGGAGGUGGCGAUGGAAGAGCCGAUACCAUUUGGCGCGAAUUGUUGCAUAAACUGCGAACUGAAGUUUAAGUCGCAGGACAAAAACUGGCAGUUGAAAGACGAUUCGCGCGAAAACAGAAGCGAAAACAAAAAAACAGAAAAGAAAGAAAAACCAGCGCAAUCGCGCUGAAGAUUGUCAGGUGGUUGGAGGUUGGAA